rnacentral:rRNA from 1 species
UACGAAGGGUGCAAGCGUUACUCGGAAUUACUGGGCGUAAAGCGUGCGUAGGUGGUUUGUUAAGUCUGUUGUGAAAGCCCCGGGCUCAACCUGGGAAUGGCAAUGGAUACUGGCAGGCUAGAGUGCGGUAGAGGGUAGUGGAAUUCCCGGUGUAGCGGUGAAAUGCGUAGAGAUCGGGAGGAACACCAGUGGCGAAGGCGGCUACCUGGACCAGCACUGACACUCAUGCACGAAAGCGUGGGGAGCAAACAGG